rnacentral:tRNA from 1 species
GUCCCUGUAGUGCAAUGGGUAGCGCGUUGGACUUCUAAUCCAAAGGUCGUGGGUUCAAAUCACACCAGGGAUG